rnacentral:lncRNA from 1 species
UGCUCUCAGAGCUAUACCCGGGAGGAACCUGCGUGUGAAUGAGACGGCUGUCAGCAAGCCUACACUCAAAGGAUUUACCCGGUGCAGAGAGCUCCAAGAGAACACCAGAGCCCCUGGUAUUCUGGUUCACUUGAAUUUGUCCUCCUGCCUAUUCCAUAUUUUUUUCACACAUAUAAUCAUUUGUUUGCAGUCCGGAAAUAUAAAACCAUUCAAGAAACGGAGGCCCAACUAUUGGCUUCCCGAUUAUUCUACCAACUCUACCAAAUCCUUGUUCUUCGUUGCACAAUUAGCUGUGAAACAGACAGAGGUUACCUACAAUAAGGUCACCAGCUCGAACAGACCCUUCUUGCUCUGUCCCAAGGACAAAGAAGAUGGCUGCUGCGUUCCCCUCUGUGAAGAAUUUGCUGGCCUUUGAAAGAAACGGUCAGUAGAAGAUUCACUGGAUAGUGAAAUUCUUUGUGCCUGGGAUGUGUUCAGUCUGCUUUUCUGCUGCACCAGGAAAGAAGGUCCAGUGUCUUAUUUCAUUCUGGAGCUUUUUGAAACUUUUUACUCUGUACUUUAAUUUUGGCAACCUUGGACUGAUGGGGUUUGUAGAUAUUAAUUAUCAAAUUGUUAUUUAUUAGCUGAUAUUCUUUCAAUUCAAUAAAUAUUUUAAAUCCCUUGUGGUGUCUGUUGAACACGUUACCAGGAAACUGAAAUAAUAUCUUCAGUCUUCCUUUUCUUUCCUCCACAAAAUAGAAAGAAGAUAACUAUACAUAGCUGAUAGUUAUUUUCUCUCAGAAAUUCAAAUAUAUUAUUUUUAAGUGCUUCUGUAAAUAUUUGAACUGAAUGCAAUUUAAAAAAUAAAAAUCUAAAGACCAAUACAAUUUUAUCUCAUAAGAUUUUUAUUUUUGACCUUUAAGUCAAGAAUUAAUAUCUCUAUAUUAGCUGCAAAUGGAUUUAAUUACCUAUAUCUGAUUCCAUGUUAAUAAUAUUAAACCCAACAUAGAAAUAUUGCAAUUAUGGGUGUGGUUUUUACCUAAGUAUUCCCAGGAGCAUUUGGGACCAGGCAGAAUAUGGAAAUGUUAAAGGUUACAGCUCAGGAGCUAAAGGUGCGCCUAUAAUGAACUAAAUCAAAGUUCAAUGAAAUAAAUUCAAGAUAUUUAUUGAUGUUUAUUAGGGACCUUAAUGGAUCCACUUUAUUUACUUGCAGGAUAAUUGGAGUAUAGCAGUGUAAGUAGAAGUUUCAGUAGAAGGAAGCAGCCUAUUGUUAAAGACCAGUUGUUCACUUUGCUGAUGAUUAAACACUGCUCUAAUAUAAAGGCAAAAAAUAUUUGCUGUGUUUUCCUUUUUUCUGUUUAGGCUUAAAGGAAACAUAAGUAGCUGUAGUAUUGUGAUAGAGUAGACACCUAAAGUCAUCAGUUUUAGGUAAAAGGCUAGUGAGGCCACUCCUGAAAUUUUGCGUUGGAGGGGCUACAAAUUACUAUUAUCCUUCUGAUUCCAGUUGUGUGUGUUACAAGUUUAUUUUCUGCAACUUUGAGGACUUGAAAUUUUCCUUAAUGCAUUUGUUCAACUUCUUUCCAAGAAAAUUAUGCUAUUAAUUUAAUUACUAAGAUCUUUAUUUGUAUUUAACUUAUUAAAUAUAUGUGUUAGGAAUUGCUUAGUAGAGUAUUAUUUAUGGUUACAUAAGAAAAACACUGCUAAUAAAUAUAACUAGGAAAGAGGGAAGGCUGCUGGGAUUCAUCACAUACAGCAUAUAGCCAAGGUAUUGUAAAAGCAGUCAUUUAUUAUAUGUGACUGUAUUUACAUUUUUAAUAUUUGUAUUGUCCGGAAGGAUUUUCUUGCAAAAGAGUGGUAAAAGAGGCCAAUAAUCAUUAAUAUAACUAGAUAAGUUCCUUGCAGAAAGGCAGAAAAAUGCUCCAGAAACAUCAUAUGCUAAAUUUUCUAGGAACUGUGGAUAGCUGUGGAUAGCUGGGUUUCAGCCAAUUUUUGACAGCAUAUAAAUAAUUUUGAUAUAUACGAAAGAAACUUUGGAAAAGUUCAGAUGAGCUUUUCCUUGGAGACAUGACUGCACAAAGUUGGGGUGCUGAUUAUAGUUCAUUCAGUGCAAAAUGAUCCCCUAUUCCCAGCUUUAUACUCCAGUAGUAAUUACAUGGGCUCCCAGAAUGGGGCUAAAAAUGAGGCCUCUUUUUAUACAGUAACUUGGCUGUCACAUUUGUCGCAGAGAAAAAAGAAAACCGUUGAUGCGAGUUUGUAACAGGGUUCAAACACUUUUCAGGUUCACCAUUGUUUUUAUUUUCCAAUAGAAUUUCGUUUGACUCUUGCCUACACUUCUAUCUAUUGUUAUCUCUCACUUCUGCUAGCCUCAGCCUGCUUUCUACAUAUACUCCACUCAAAAGAGGCUGAAGCAAUUCUGAAACGUGUUUAUACAAUUAUUCACUGACCACAUCUGUGUCUACACAUGCAGUAUGAAGUAAAGAUUUCUCCCAAUUAUAUUCAGACUCUAACAAAAUGGCAAAUCACUCUGUUAGAAUAACCACUUAAUAACUUCAUUCUGCUCCUAUGUGUCAAUUUAAGUGCAAAUAAAAUUGAUGCCUGAGAAACAUUUUGUGGAAGGAACAUUUUGUGGGAGAUGAUUGUCAAGAAGGAUUACUUAAGUGUUUCCCAG